CGAGGCAGAAGGGUGUUUUACUAUGGUAGAAGGGUGUUUUACUAUGGUAGAAGGGUGUUUUACUAUGGCAGAAGGGUGUUUUACUAUGGUAGAAGGGUGUUUUACUAUGGUAGAAGGCGAGGCAGAAGGGUGUUUUACUAUGGUAGAAGGGUGUUUUACUAUGGUAGAAGGGUGUUUUACUAUGGCAGAAGGGUGUUUUACUAUGGUAGAAGGGUGUUUUACUAUGGUAGAAGGGUGUUUUACUAUGGUAGAAGGGUGUUUUACUAUGUCAGAAGGGUGUUUUACUAUGGUAGAAGGGUGUUUUACUAUGUCAGAAGGGUGUUUUACCAAGGUAGAAGGGUGUUUUAGUGGCCGUUGUUGCCGUGAUAAAGUAUUUGCCCCCUUUUUAGUUCUCUCCACAUUUGCAUAUUUUUGAUACUGAAUGUUAUCAGAUCUUCAACCAAAACCUAAUAUUAGAUACAGGAAACCUGAGUGAACAAAUAACACAACACUUACAUUCUUUAUUUAAUUUAUUUCAUAAACAAAGUUAUGCAACACCAAAUUCCCCUUACACUCAAUAACUGGUUGUGCCUUCUUCAGCUGCAACGACUCUAACUAAACACUUCCUGUAGUUGUUGAUCAGUCUCGCACGUCGCUGUGGAGGAAUUCUGUCCCACUCUUCCAUGCGGAACUGCUUUAACUCAGCGACGUGUGGGCUUUCAAGCAUGAAAUGCUUGUUUCAAGUCCUGCCACAACAUCUCAAUAUGGACUAGGGAUUAGGUCUGAACUUUGACUAGGCCAUUCCAAUCUUCAAAUGUGUUGCUCUUUAGCCAUUUUUAUGUUGAUUGUGUUUUUAAUCAUUGUCUUGCUGCAUGACCCAGCUGCACUUCAACUUCAGCUCACAGACGGAUGGCCUGACAUCCUCCUGUAGAAUUCUCUGAUACAGAGCCGAAUUCAUGGUUCCUUACUUUUAAGGCAAGUCGUCCAGGUCCUGAGGCAGCAAAGCAUCCCCAAACCAUCACACUGCCACCACCAUGCUGACCCCAAACCAUCCCACUGCCACCACCAUGCUGACCCAUAACCAUCCUAAUGCCACCACCAUGCUGACCCCAAACCAUCACACUACCACCACCAUGCUGACCCCAAACCAUCACACUACCACCACCAUGCUGGCCCCAAACCAUCACACUACCACCACCAUGCUUGACCGUUGGCGUGAGGUUCUUACUGUGGAAUGCUGUGUUUAGUUUUUGCCAGGCAUAAAAACAAUUUAGUUUUUUAAAUUUAACCUUUAUUUAACCAGGCAAGUCAGUUAAGAACAAAUUCUUAUUUUCAACGACACCCUCGGAACAGUGGGUUAACUGCCUUGUUCAGGGUCAGAACGACAGCCUAGGAACAGUGGGUUAACUGCCUUGUUCAGGGUCAGAACGACAGCCUAGGAACAGUGGGUUAACUGCCUUGUUCAGGGUCGGAACGACAGCCUAGGAACAGUGGGUUAACUGCCUUGUUCAGGGU
rnacentral:lncRNA from 13 species